UUUUGAUCAUGGCUCAGAUUGAACGCUGGCGGCGUGCUUAACACAUGCAAGUCGAACGAGAAAGGGUUUUCGGACCUGAGUAGAGUGGCGCACGGGUGAGUAACGCGUAGAUAAUCUACCUUCGCAUCUGGGAUAACAGUUCGAAAGGGCUGCUAAUACCGGAUACACUCAUUGGCCGCGAGGUUGAUGAGGAAAGGUGGCUUCCUUCGGGGGGCUGCUGUGUGAAGAUGAGUCUGCGUCCCAUUAGCUAGUUGGCAGGGUAAAGGCCUACCAAGGCGACGAUGGGUAGCGGGUCUGAGAGGAUGAUCCGCCACACUGGAACUGGAACACGGACCAGACUCCUACGGGAGGCAGCAGUGAGGAAUAUUGGACAAUGGGCGCAAGCCUGAUCCAGCGACGCCGCGUGAGUGAUGAAGGCCUUCGGGUCGUAAAGCUCUGUCGGAGGGGAAGAAUGGCCAUGGGGAUAAUACCCUCAUGGAUUGACGGUACCCUCAGAG
rnacentral:rRNA from 1 species